AUGGAAACGUUCGGGCGGGCGGAGACGCGCCGCGAGCAGAGUCGGGGCUGCCCAGGAGCGGAGUGGAGGAGGAGUCUCCACUGGCCCUCUCCGACCAGUUUCCCUCCGCCCGGCUGGAAAAUGAAGUUGACCCCAGAAAUGAGGAUGGAGAGGAAAGGCGUGGAGGAGGCACGGGAGGAAGCGCCGCAGGACCUGUUGCUGAUGCUCCAGCAGGUUGGCCUCUCUGGGAGGAUGUUGUAUGCCCGGCUUCUAGAAGCAACAGCGGAGGGGGGCAUAGGAGAAAGGGGGAAGCAUUUGGGCCCUCCUUUCCUGGGGGAAGUGUUGGAGGAAAGAGAGACUAGCAGACCCCAAGGGCCAAAAUCCCCAGGUAUGUUCCCCCCUCAGACUUGGGAUGGCAUAGGGAUGCGGGGUUGAAGUCACUGGAAAGAGGACCAUCCCCCCAAGCCUGGCUAUGACCGAAAUUGCAGUUGUGAGGAGCUGAGAUCUGCAAGAAAAUGUGUAAAGUUUGUUUUAAAACAUUCCAGCAGUUCGCCUUCCUCAGAAGUCACGUCUAGACUCCCUGACUGGGACAGGUGCAGAAUUGAGACCCCUCUCCCUCAUCAAAAGACCUCCGGAUGCCUGCCCCUGUCUUCCUCCUUCCCAGGAUUUCCUCACAGAUGAGGGCCAUUUGAUGUCACUGAGAACCCAAUGUCCCCUCACACCGGCCCUCCCCCCAGGGCCCCUGCCAAGUUUAAUUCCCUGCUCUUCUUUCUCUCCUUCCUCCACUGCCCCUGCCGCCCCCAUUUCCAGAGGGUUGGUGAGAUCGCAGAGGCAAGCAUGCAGGCCCUGGCCCUUCUCCGCCCGCUGGCGAAAGAAAGUUGACAGAUACCCUCAGCGGGCUGCGGAGCUGGGCUGAGCGCCCAUCUAUAUCAUGGUAUUUAGUAUCCUGGGUGGUGGCCCCUCUGAAUUUCCAGCUGUGCUGAAGGCUGGGAUCACCUACCCAGAGACGCUACAGCAGCCCAUGGCAACCCAUAUCCACAGCCAAAGUCUAGGCGGAAAUGGAGACCCGCCUCCACCAAAAUGUCGCCUUCAAGUAGCACGAGUCCCCAACUGGCCCCUUCCCCCUGGGGACAAGCGCAGGGCCUCGCCAGCCGCCACUCCCAUGGCGCUGAAAGCCAACUCUGGGACCCGAAACAUGCACUGCAAAUGCUGUUGGUUAGGCACCCAAGUAAUAUUCUUCAUUCGUCUUUUUCAAAGUUGAUUUAUAGCAAUCGACAGGUUAAAGCCUCAUCUGACUUCAUUACUUUUAAAAGCUGUCUAUUUCACAACUGUCACUUUUCAUCGUUUAACUCAAAUAAAUACUUGAGGAAAUGAAUUGAAAGAGACUUU
rnacentral:lncRNA from 1 species